GGUUAAGCGAAUAAGCGUACACGGUGGAUGCCUAGGCAAUCAGAGGCGAUGAAGGACGUGCUAAUCUGCGAAAAGCGUCGGUAAGGUGAUAUGAACCGUUAUACCCGACGAUAUCCGAAUGGGGAAACCCAGUAUCCAAUGGAUACUAUCAUUAACUGAAUCCAUAGGUUAAUGAGGCGAACCGGGAGAACUGAAACAUCUCAGUACCCCGAGGAAAAGAAAUCAACCGAGAUUCCCCUAGUAGCGGCGAGCGAACGGGGAGCAGCCCAGAGUCUUAAUCAAUAACAGUGUCAGGAGAACGGUCUGGAAAGUCCGGCAGUAAAGGGUGAUAGCCCCGUAUCUGAAGAUGCUGUUAUUGUGAA
rnacentral:rRNA from 1 species